rnacentral:rRNA from 1 species
AGACCCGAAACCCGGUGAUCUAGCCAUGGGCAGGUUGAAGGUUGGGUAACACUAACUGGAGGACCGAACCGACUAAUGUUGAAAAAUUAGCGGAUGACCUGUGGCUGGGGGUGAAAGGCCAAUCAAACCGGGAGAUAGCUGGUUCUCCCCGAAAGCUAUUUAGGUAGCGCCUCGUGAAUUCAUCUCCGGGGGUAGAGCACUGUUUCGGCUAGGGGGCCAUCCCGGCUUACCAACCCGAUGCAAACUGCGAAUACCGGAGAAUGUUAUCACGGGAGACACACGGCGGGUGCUAACGUCCGUCGUGAAGAGGGAAACAACCCAGACCGCCAGCUAAGGUCCCAAAGUCAUGGUUAAGUGGGAAACGAUGUGGGAAGGCCCAGACAGCCAGGAUGUUGGCUUAGAAGCAGCCAUCAUUUAAAGAAAGCGUAAUAGCUCACUGGUCGAGUCGGCCUGCGCGGAAGAUGUAACGGGGCUAAACCAUGCACCGAAGCUGCGGCAGCGACGCUGAUGCGUUGUUGGGUAGGGGAGCGUUCUGUAAGCCUGUGAAGGUGGCCUGUGAGGGUUGCUGGAGGUAUCAGAAGUGCGAAUGCUGACAUAAGUAACGAUAAAGCGGGUGAAAAGCCCGCUCGCCGGAAGACCAAGGGUUCCUGUCCAACGUUAAUCGGGGCAGGGUGAGUCGACCCCUAAGGCGAGGCCGAAAGGCGUAGUCGAUGGGAAACGGGUUAAUAUUCCCGUACUUGGUGUUACUGCGAAGGGGGGACGGAGAAGGCUAUGUUGGCCGGGCGACGGUUGUCCCGGUUUAAGCGUGUAGGUGUGUGUUCCAGGUAAAUCCGGUUCACUUUAACACUGAGGCGUGAUGACGAGGCACUACGGUGCUGAAGCAACAAAUGCCCUGCUUCCAGGAAAAGCCUCUAAGCAUCAGGUAACAUCAAAUCGUACCCCAAACCGACACAGGUGGUCAGGUAGAGAAUACCAAGGCGCUUGAGAGAACUCGGGUGAAGGAACUAGGCAAAAUGGUGCCGUAACUUCGGGAGAAGGCACGCUGACACGUAGGUGAAGUGAUUUACUCAUGGAGCUGAAGUCAGUCGAAGAUACCAGCUGGCUGCAACUGUUUAUUAAAAACACAGCACUGUGCAAACACGAAAGUGGACGUAUACGGUGUGACGCCUGCCCGGUGCCGGAAGGUUAAUUGAUGGGGUCAGCGCAAGCGAAGCUCCUGAUCGAAGCCCCGGUAAACGGCGGCCGUAACUAUAACGGUCCUAAGGUAGCGAAAUUCCUUGUCGGGUAAGUUCCGACCUGCACGAAUGGCGUAAUGAUGGCCAGGCUGUCUCCACCCGAGACUCAGUGAAAUUGAACUCGCUGUGAAGAUGCAGUGUACCCGCGGCAAGACGGAAAGACCCCGUGAACCUUUACUAUAGCUUGACACUGAACAUUGAGCCUUGAUGUGUAGGAUAGGUGGGAGGCUUUGAAGUGUGGACGCCAGUCUGCAUGGAGCCGACCUUGAAAUACCACCCUUUAAUGUUUGAUGUUCUAACGUGGACCCGUGAUCCGGGUUGCGGACAGUGUCUGGUGGGUAGUUUGACUGGGGCGGUCUCCUCCUAAAGAGUAACGGAGGAGCACGAAGGUUGGCUAAUCCUGGUCGGACAUCAGGAGGUUAGUGCAAUGGCAUAAGCCAGCUUGACUGCGAGCGUGACGGCGCGAGCAGGUGCGAAAGCAGGUCAUAGUGAUCCGGUGGUUCUGAAUGGAAGGGCCAUCGCUCAACGGAUAAAAGGUACUCCGGGGAUAACAGGCUGAUACCGCCCAAGAGUUCAUAUCGACGGCGGUGUUUGGCACCUCGAUGUCGGCUCAUCACAUCCUGGGGCUGAAGUAGGUCCCAAGGGUAUGGCUGUUCGCCAUUUAAAGUGGUACGCGAGCUGGGUUUAGAACGUCGUGAGACAGUUCGGUCCCUAUCUGCCGUGGGCGCUGGAGAACUGAGGGGGGCUGCUCCUAGUACGAGAGGACCGGAGUGGACGCAUCACUGGUGUUCGGGUUGUCAUGCCAAUGGCACUGCCCGGUAGCUAAAUGCGGAAGAGAUAAGUGCUGAAAGCAUCUAAGCACGAAACUUGCCCCGAGAUGAGUUCUCCCUGAGACUUAGAGUCUCCUGAAGGAACGUUGAAGACGACGACGUUGAUAGGCCGGGUGUGUAAGCGCAGCGAUGCGUUGAGCUAACCGGUACUAAUGAACCGUGAGGCUUAACCUUACAACGCCGAAG